UACGAGGGGGGCGAGCGUUGUUCGGAGUUACUGGGCGUAAAGGGUGUGUAGGCGGUUGUUUAAGUUUGGUGUGAAAUCUCCCGGCUCAACUGGGAGGGUGCGCCGAAUACUGAAUGACUUGGAGUGCGGGAGAGGAAAGUGGAAUUCCUGGUGUAGCGGUGAAAUGCGUAGAUAUCAGGAGGAACACCGGUGGUGUAAACGGCUUUCUGGACCAUAACUGACGCUGAGGCACGAAAGCGUGGGUAGCAAACAGG
rnacentral:rRNA from 1 species